UACAGAGGGUGCAAGCGUUAAUCGGAAUUACCGGGCGUAAAGCGUGCGUAGACGGUUACAUAAGUCGGGUGUGAAAGCCCCGGGCUCAACCUGGGAAUUGCAUUCGAGACUGCGUAGCUAGGGUGCGGAAGAGGGAAGCGGAAUUUCCGGUGUAGCGGUGAAAUGCGUAGAUAUCGGAAGGAACACCAGUGGCGAAAGCGGCUUCCUGGUCCAGCACCGACGUUCAGGCACGAAAGCGUGGGGAGCAAACAGG
rnacentral:rRNA from 1 species